rnacentral:misc_RNA from 1 species
AAACUGCGAUAAGUAGUGUGAAUUGCAUUUAGUGAAUCAUCGAAUCUUUGAACGCACCCUGCACUCACUGGUAUUCCGGUGAGUACGCCUGUUUCAGUAUCAUUGAAAACACACAAUCAAAACAUUUUCUUUGGUUUGAUUGGCUUUGGGUCUAUCAAAAAGUUUGGCUUGUUUCUUACAAGCCAAGCGGCCUGAAAUAUAUUGUCUGGCUAGUUGCAUCGUUGAUGAUCGCUAUUAGACUUUGGCUUUUUUAAAUGAACUGGAGGUUGAUUAACCAGUUUUAGCUUUAGUCAAAUGGUCAUUGUAAAAAAAAUCUCGAUCUUGGCUAGGUGUUUAUAGCCGAAAAUUUUUUUUUGGCUAUAACCGAAACCAAUAUAAUCACAUUUAGUUAUCGAUCUGAAAUCAGGUGGGACUACCCGCUGAACUUAAGC